rnacentral:rRNA from 1 species
AUUGAACGCUGGCGGCAGGCCCAACACAUGCAAGUCGAGCGGUUGAGAGUAGCUUGCUACUUGAUGCAGCGGCGGACGGGUGAGUAACGCGUGGGAAUCUGCCCAGUAGUGGGGGAUAGCCCGGCGAAAGCCGGAUUAAUACCGCAUACGACCUGAGGGUGAAAGGGGGGGAUCGCAAGACCUCUCGCUAUUGGAGCGGCCGAUGUCAGAUUAGCUGGUUGGUGGGGUAAAGGCCUACCAAGGCAACGAUCUGUAGUUGGUCUGAGAGGACGACCAGCCACACUGGGACUGAGACACGGCCCAGAAUCCUACGGGAGGCAGCAGUGGGGAAUUUUGGACAAUGGGCGCAAGCCUGAUCCAGCAAUGCCGCGUGCAGGAAGAAGGCCUUCGGGUUGUAAACUGCUUUUGUCAGGGAAGAAAUCUUCUGGGUUAAUACCUCGGGAGGAUGACGGUACCUGAAGAAUAAGCACCGGCUAACUACGUGCCAGCAGCCGCAGUAAUAC